rnacentral:rRNA from 1 species
GAGUUUGAUCGUGGCUCAGAGUGAACGCUGGCGGCAGGCCUAACACAUGCAAGUCGAACGGCAGCACAGGAGAGCUUGCUCUCUGGGUGGCGAGUGGCGGACGGGUGAGGAAUACAUCGGAAUCUACCGUUGUCGUGGGGGAUAACGUAGGGAAACUUACGCUAAUACCGCAUACGACCUACGGGUGAAAGCGGCGGACCGCAAGGCGUCGCGCGAUUGGAUGAGCCGAUGUCCGAUUAGCUAGUUGGCGGGGUAAAGGCCCACCAAGGCGACGAUCGGUAGCUGGUCUGAGAGGAUGAUCAGCCACACUGGAACUGAGACACGGUCCAGACUCCUACGGGAGGCAGCAGUGGGGAAUAUUGGACAAAUGGGCGCAAGCCUGAUCCAGCCAUGCCGCGUGUGUGAAGAAGGCCUUCGGUU